UCUCCACUGGGGUCUCUAGGCAUGGCUGUGUGUGUUCUGUGUCGGUGCAGCACCUGCCCGGCUCUGUGACUGACUCCUAGACCCUACACCUAGUAAAGAACGUACAGCUCCAUGCACAGCGGGGUCCUGGUUCAUAACUGGGGUUCCUAGGUGUUACCGUAAUACACCUCAUAAAUAACACACCCACAGAUGAAUAAGUGACUCGGAAAAUCUGCCAUGGAAAAACAUUCAGCUGAUCUGAGCCUUCCAAUCAUCUCGGCGCCUGACACAACCAGGAGAAAGUGCAGAAUGGCUGGGGAAGAAUGACUUUAAACAGCCCUGCAAAGAGAGAACCUCCGGCAGAGAUGAGCUCGCUCAGCGAGGAACUCGCCAAAGAGCACGUGCCUUGGAGCGACUCCACCGAAUUACAGCAUUUUGUUCUCCAGGUACCACUAUUUCAUUCUUUUCUGAGCUCGAGUUUAGUCCCGGAUUUCCAACUGACAACUUGGGGUUUGGGGCAUCGGGUUGGAAAUACAUGAGCUCCCCUUUGGUGCCAGCGGCAGGAGAGUGAAGUAAUUGUAGAGAGUUAGUGCUUCCCAUCGCAGGGUGCCAGCUGGGGCAGAUCCACCACCGUCUCCUUUAUGCAAAUAAGCUGUAAAAAUACCUCUGGAGAAACUGCUUGUGGCAUUAAUGCUCUACCGGGGCAUUCCGCUCAGAGCUGAUUAAUCACAGCAGCACAGACCUGCUGGCAUUUAGUUUGAAAUGGGCCGAGUCAACAAUGCAGCAAGGGAAGAAAUGAACCACAGGGAGAGAAGUAAUUGGGGGAAAAUGAGGGGAGGAAUUUGAGCAGGGGUAGCAAAGUCCAGUCGGUUCAGAAGGAAGCGGAUUAGCACAGGGCUGGGAUAGCAGUGAG